ensembl:lncRNA
CUUCAGAAUAAUUACCCAGAGAAAAAUUACCUUGAGUCGAAGGAGCUAGUUGGGAUGGUGCCGGUUCAGAUAAAGGUUCUGAGGGUGAUGCUGGUUCAGAUGAAGGUUCUGAGGGUGGUGCUGAUUCAGAUAAAGGUUCUGAGGGUGGUGCUGGUUCAGAUCCAGGUCCUGGUGUGGCAGGUUGAAUUGGACCUGCUGGUUGAGCUGGCACUGGAGGAGGUUGAUAAGCUUGAUAAACAGGGGGAUUUUGAUAAAGUUGUCCAGGUGCAGGUGUAGGUGCUGGUUGAACUGGAGCCACUGGUUGAGCUGACACUGGUUGAGCCGACACUGGUGGAGCCGACACUGGUUGAGCUGAUACUGGUUGAGCCGACAUUGGUUGAGCUGACACUGGUUGAGCUGAUACUGGUUGAGCUGAUACUGGUUGAGCUGGAGAGGCUUGAUAAGCUUGAUAAGCUGGAGGAACUGGAGGAUAAAAUGGCUGCUGAGCUGGAUGUGCUGUGAGAAUGGGCAGUGGAGAUCAAAAGUUGUAAAUUCAAACAGACUGAGAUGACUAAUCUAAUUUUAGGCUAUGUAACUAUAGACGAAACCUGUGAAUCAAACAGAUUAGAAUGGAAAAAAUAAAUAGGCCAGAUUCUAUGAUGAUAUUUUAAAAUAUGGGGAAACAAGCAAAUUAAUCCUUAUAAAGGUCUCAUUGAUCCACGGUUUCACAAGUAAUGUGGUUGAAAUGUAAAGUAAAAGGUGGAUGUAAAAAAGGCUUUGAAGUGGAUAUGUCUCGCUCAGCCUUACAAACUACAGUGCAGAGGUUUACCUGGUCUAGCCCACUGGUCAGGAGAAACUCCAGACGUAAAUAACAACACAAAGCUCUAAAGACAAAUAUCACCAACGUAUAACAAUUGUUAACGUUAGCAAUGAAUAACUGGAAAAAAAGGUAAAUAAGACCAAGUACCUGUUACAGUUGAAGGUGGGAAUGGAGUGUCUGUGAAUAUAUGGUGCACUGAAAGACAAAUGGAUUCAGUAUAGUCUGAUGUAAUACAAUGGUUAUAUACUCAACAUACAGAAUAUAAUAGCUAUACCACAUUUGGAUUCUUUGUUUAUUUUUAUUUUUUUAUGUGUGUAACUUAGCGGGAUUUAAAUUGAUUUAAAUGUAAGUUCAUGGUGGAAGUGGAAAUUCCAUUAAAGGUUUUUUGAUAUUAAUGACGCAAAUAUAUUAUGAUUGAUUCACCCACAUUUAAUACAUUUUAGAAAAUACUUCUUGCAAUGAUUACAGCUGUUAUUUUAGGACUGUCUUAAACAGUAAUAUAAAGAUGUACUGGUCAACAAUCAGCCCCGAGAUGAGGAAGUAUUACACAGUUUAUUCAGGAGAGUGUUGGUGUGUACUUACAGUACCAGCCAGGGAGUGAUGAUGGCCAGUAAACUGGUGCUGGUUGACAGGUAGGAACUGGAAAAU